rnacentral:lncRNA from 1 species
CCGGUCUGCAAUCUCUCCCAUUGAAACUCUGCAAAGAUGAGAAAAGUACUUAUAAUCCAUUUUCAAAACUCAUUAAACACAUGCAAGGAAACCUGCUACAGUUCUAACGUAAACUAUCAUGGUUUCAGGCUUCAAAUUUCUUUUUUCUUCUACAUUAAGCAAAUCAUUGUCAUUAAUGUAGAAGAAAAAGAAAUGUAGACAACGGCGGCUGCCCAUUGGCUCGGAGUCUACACUCUUCUACACUUGCCGGCCGCUCAUUGGCCAGGAGUCUACACUCUCCUCCGAAGUGUAAACAAUGGCGGCCUCCCAUUGGCGCGGAGUCUACAGUUCCCUAGAGCCUUCCCCCUCCCCGACGUUGGCACUUGACGCUCUCCGAGCGAGUUCAGCCGAAUGGAAAAAGUUACACGUCUACGAAGAGGACGACGCCACGCACUUGACGCUCUCCGAGCGAGUUCAGCCGAAUGGCUUUCAUUCAUCAUAUCUGUCGUACCUAGCUUAUUAAUGUAUUUUUGCCCCUUUUUUCUUCCCACUCACUGCGGAGGCUACUUUGCCCUAAUACAACCAGCCUCGUUCGCUUCAUGUCAACCACUUAGCCAUACAAAACUAUGUUUUUUAAGGUAGGUUUAUUAAAUGACUUUUUCCGUGAAUGAACUUGUUUAUCUUUGGGUUUAUUCAUAUGUUAAUGUGCUGCCGAUUUUUACUGUUGUGCUUGCUGUGUUCUUUGUAUAUAUUUAGCAGAUGCAAUCAUUCUUUUUCCAGUUCAUGACAUAUCUUUAUGCACCCUCUUGGAAACUACUUACUACUUACUUCCUUAAUGUGCAAAUCACAAAUGUCGCAACUCAUCAAAAUCAUGUUUUGUGUGUAUAUAUAUAGGCUAUAUGCACUCGUUACCUCUGUCACAGGCAUAAUAAUUCUCUUGCACUGCGAGCUUGAUGCCUUUUACAUUGAUCUCCAGGACAAGGCUUUAUGUUCUAUAAUGUAUAUUUAAUCUUUAUCUUGGUUGUCAUUGCUGUUUUAGAUUUAGAUUUUGAGCUAAUAUUACAAUUAUUUAUGUUUUUUUACACCUGUGUUUAUAAACCUGUGACAACCUAUUUUUUUAUUGAAAAUGUGAGUUAUUAAAAAAACAAAAAUUGCACUCCAAUAAACCUUUCUGACCUUUAUUUUCAUACAACAAUUAACAGAAUAUAAAAAAUCAUAAACAUGACAAGAUAAGACAGUCAAUUCCUCAUCCAGAACAUUCCCCUAUUACAGUAGCAACAAACAUAAAGGUGAUAAGCUGUACUUAAGCUCUGCUAAGGCACUUUUAAUGUAAACAGAUCCACACCAGUGAUAGCUUUCCAUACAGGUUGUUUUGCCUUUUUUAAACCUUUCAAUGUGGAGUUUGCAUGAGGGCUAAGGUUAAACUACUUUGUUUGUGUGGUGUUCAGAAAACAAUAUGGCUUUGAACACCAUAAAAACAAAGUAAAUCUGUAUCAUGCAGGGUACAGAUAUUACAAAAGACAGGCAAUUACACAGUAUAAUUGCAACCAUAAUUCUAAGUGAGUAUACAGAAGAUAUGUACAUAUAUACAGGUUUAAUAAAUAAUAUACAAUAUAAAUAUGAAAACAGAUACAGACAGUCGAUACAAAUACAGCUCACCAGUCACACACAGUCAUGAUCAGAUUCUGCCAAUAGAGGGAGGUGUUUGAUUGACAGGUGUCUGGCCUACAAUCUCUCCCAUUGAAACUCUGCAAUGAUGAGAAAAGUAGUUAUAAUCCAUUAUCAAAACUCAUAAAACACAUGCAAGGAAACCUGCUACAGUUCUAACGUAAACUAUCAUGGUUUCAGGCUUCAAAUUUAUUUUUUCUUCUACAUUAAGCAAAUCAUUGUCAUUAAUGUAGAAGAAAAAGAAAUGUAGACAACGGCGGCCGCCCAUUGGCUCGGAGUCUACACUUGUCUACACUUGCCGGCCGCUCAUUGGACCGUGGCGACGUGCAAACCCCUGAGCAAUUCAUUGUCAUUAAUGUAGAAGAAAAAAAAAAUUGAAGCCUGAAACCAUGAUAGUUUACGUUAGAACUGUAGCAGGUUUCCUUGCAUGUGUUUUAUGAGUUAUGAAAAAGGUUUAUAAGUACUUUUCUCAUCUCUGCAGAGUUUCAAUGGGAGAGAUUGUAGACCGGACACCUGUCAAUCAAACACCUCCCUCUAUUGGCAGAAUCUGAUCAUGACUGUGUGUGACUGGUGAGCUGUAUUUGUAUCGACUGUCUGUAUCUGUUUUCAUAUUUAUAUUGUAUAUUAUUUAUUAAACCUGUAUAUAUGUACAUAUCUUCUGUAUACUCACUUAGAAUUAUGGUUGCAAUUAUACUGUGUAAUUGCCUGUCUUUUGUAAUAUCUGUAUCCUGCAUGAUACAGAUUUACUUUGUUUUUAUGGUGUUCAAAGCCAUAUUGUUUUCUGAACACCACACAAACAAAGUAGUUUAACCUUUGCCCUCAUGCAAACUCCACAUUGAAAGGUUAAAAAAAGGCAAAACAACCUGUAUGGAAAGCUAUCACUGGUGUGGAUCUGUUUACAUUAAAAGUGCCUUAGCAGAGCUUAAGUACAGCUUAUCACCUUUAUGUUUGUUGCUACUGUAAUAGGGGAAUGUUCUGGAUGAGGAAUUGACUGUCUUGUCAUGUUUAUGAAUUUUUAUAUUCUGUUAAUUGUUGUAUGAAAAUAAAGGUCAGAGAGGUUUAUUGGAGUGCAAUUUGUUUUUUUAAUAACUCACAUUUUCAAUAAUAAAAUAGGUUGUCACAGGUUUAUAAACACAGGUGUAAAAAAACAUUAAUAAUUGUAAUAUUAGCUUAAAAUCUAAAUCUAAAACAGCAAUGACAACCAAGAUAAAGAUUAAAUAUACAUUAUAGAAUAUAAAGCCUUGUCCUGGAGAUCAAUGUAAACAGUGUCACGAUCCUACUGUUGGGUAAGGUUAAGCUGGUUGGUAACUGGUGGUCAUGGUAACGGUGGGAGUGGCUCCCUUGAUUGGUUGAUUGGGGUCACCUGGGGGAUCCAAGAUGGUGGAUAUACACAGCAUGGUGGCCAGUGGUUACAGCCCCGGCAGGAUAAGACUUUGUAAAGCCAUUCACCCAGAUGCCAGUACACUCCAGAGCUAAGGAGUCCAACGGGGGACGUGACCACCCCUUCACCGUCUUUGUUUGUCAAGUGUUUGUCUAAACAUGUAAACCAAAACUGAACGAGACAGCUACCGUUCACCACAACGCUUGGGCUAUCUCCAUAGCAAGAGAGAGAAGGACCAGCGCUCACCAGGAACCCAGGUGAGUCACUACACACGUGCCCCGGAAGCUAGUUGCCUACCAGCUGUGGUUAUACCACGUAUGUGUCUCGACUCCUGCCUAGACAGAGAGCCGGUUUUCCCUAGAUACCAGUGGGGUCGUGACAAAGGCAUCAAGCUCGUAGUGCAAGAGAAUUAUUAUGCCUGUGACAGAGGUAACAAGUGCAUAUAGCCUAUAUAUAUAUACACACACAAAACAAGAUUUUGAUCAGUUUUGACAUUUGUGAUUUGCACAUUAAGGAAGUAAUUAGUAAGUAGUUUCCAAGAAGGUGCAUAAAGAUAUGUCAUGAACUGGAAAAAGAAUGAUUGCAUCUGCUAAAUAUAUACAAAGAACACAGCAAGCACAACAGUAAAAACACCUCUAAAAUAUAAAAUUCAAACAGUGAGAAAUAAGGUGCAUAGUGAAAUAUAAUACAAAACGAAUGAUUGUGUCUGUCAAAUAUUAAUAUAUAUAAUAUAUACAAUGAGCCCAGUGUCAGAGCAUUCAAGCGCUGCUCUAAGGGGCCUGGGACUGAUAGGCCAGAAGCUCGUCUUCUGGCCCCGUCCGUGUGCGGCCUCUCAUCCGGGAGCUCUGCAGCGGGAGGUAGGCUGGUGCUGGUGACGCUCUGCGGACGCUGGAGGAUAGACAAACCUCGAUCCGUCACGUUUGUGGCUGAGAAGGCUCCUGUCUCCUUAUGAACUCAGCAACAGAUUUGUUGUUCAUUUUCAGGAUGGGAAUCCCUAGAUUGCUGAUUUCAGCGUCAUCCACGGUCACUCUCUGUUGCACCCGCUGGUAGAGUGUGGUGAUCUGGUGCUUGAGAGGGGAGCCGCGAGCCUUUUUCCUGCAGUCCGGGUGAAGCCAGAGCUGUUUAACGAUGCAGUACAUCAGCCGGUUCUUCCUGGAGUCAAGCAGGUGGGCGGGAGAGACACUGAGGACAAUGAGGACAAAAGCUUAGGAAGCCACAAGGAUCAUAUUGGGUUGAAACAGAAAUAAAGAAUAAUCCUUAAAGGGUGCCUUUUAACCAGUUUUAUUUUAAACUGAUUUAAAGUUUUAUAUUCAAUAAAUGUACAGUUAUAUGAGCUUAAUGUUGAUCUGUGAAUGGCAUCGAUAAAAUAAAAAAAUGAUUUACCUUGUCCUUCAAAAGUGGUGAGAGCCUCUGAAAACAAUGUAUCAUGCCAAGGUGACAGGGAUGUUGCUGUCGGAGGGGCCACUGAAGCAGACGCUGACGCUGACGGAGGAACCACUGACGCCGACGGAGGAACCACUGUUUCAGAUGGGACAGGACCAGACAAGGACGAAGAUGGUACAGCUGCAGUAGGGGCUUUCUGAGGAGAGUUUCACAAAUUACAGUUAAAGUA